UGGGGAAUAUUGCGCAAUGGGCGAAAGCCUGACGCAGCGACGCCGCGUGAGGGAUGAAGGUUUUCGGAUCGUAAACCUCUGUCAGAAGGGAAGAAACCGCACUGUGCUAAUCAGCAGUGCCUUGACGGUACCUUCAAAGGAAGCACCGGCUAACUCCGUGCCAGCAGCCGCGGUAAUACGGAGGGUGCAAGCGUUAAUCGGAAUUACUGGGCGUAAAGCGCACGUAGGCUGCUUUGUAAGUCAGGGGUGAAAUCCCACGGCUCAACCGUGGAACUGCCUUUGAUACUGCUUAGCUUGAAUCCGGGAGAGGGUGGCGGAAUUCCAGGUGUAGGAGUGAAAUCUGUAGAUAUCUGGAGGAACAUCAGUGGCGAAGGCGGCCACCUGGACCGGUAUUGACGCUGAGGUGCGAAAGCGUGGGGAGCAAACAGG
rnacentral:rRNA from 1 species